rnacentral:sRNA from 1 species
CCUCCCUUAUAUAAACCCUUGACCUGUUUGUUAAUCAAUACAUUUCUUAGUCUCAAAAAAGAGAGUAUAUGAUAUUUCAGAUUUGACUUAAAUAAUAAUAAAUUUUCAUUUAGAGGGCCUCCACUACCCUUCAUUCAAUUUCAACAAUUUUUUUUUCCCUUCUCUUUCGUCCUUCUUAUUUAUUAUCUAGUGGUUAUAUGAAGGUGGACUUGCCUGUGUUCGAACACGUGUUCCUAUGGUGUUCAGCCAAGGCCCCCAAAUAACUCAUACAUGUUCCGUACGAUACUGCUGUUGAAGCUGCUGCUGUAUAGAAGCAGCUACAGCAUGAUCUUAUUGUAGAGAUGACAGCACAGAGAGAGAAUGCACUGAGAAUCAGCAGACAAAGCAGAUCAAAGAAUACACAGAUAGUAUAUACAGAGAAGCAGAAUGAAUGAAUGAUAAUAUAUAGAUUUAUUUUGUUUCUAUUUCUUCUUUAUUUCUGUGUAUGAAGAGAGAUAGAAUUUGAUAGACUAACUUCUCACUGCUGCUUGAUCUCCACUAUUCAUACAAUAGAAAUGAUGUAAUGAAAAGAAGUUUUCAGAUGAUCAGAUUGUCUCUGAGCAGAAAACAAUCUGAUUCUUUAG